rnacentral:snoRNA from 1 species
AGCCUCCUGAUGCUUACUACAGGCUGUGUUCUUACACUGACAGUACAGAAAGAAGAGGCAAUGUAAACCUACCCCAUAUACACCUCAGCCCAGGGCCUGUGCCUGGCCUGUAUUGUGAAUGGGGAGACAUGG